GACGAACGCUGGCGGCGUGCUUAACACAUGCAAGUCGAACGGAAAGGCCCUGCUUUUGUGGGGUGCUCGAGUGGCGAACGGGUGAGUAACACGUGAGUAACCUGCCCUUGACUUUGGGAUAACUUCAGGAAACUGGGGCUAAUACCGGAUAGGAGCUCCUGCUGCAUGGUGGGGGUUGGAAAGUUUCGGCGGUUGGGGAUGGACUCGCGGCUUAUCAGCUUGUUGGUGGGGUAGUGGCUUACCAAGGCUUUGACGGGUAGCCGGCCUGAGAGGGUGACCGGCCACAUUGGGACUGGGAUACGGCCCAGACUCCUACGGGGGGCAGCAGUGGGGAAUAUUGCACAAUGGGCGGAAGCCUGAUGCGGCAACGCCGCGUGCGGAAUGACGGCCUUCGGGUUGUAAACCGCUUUCGCCUGUGACGAGGCGUGGGUGACGGUAAUGGGUAAAGAAGCACCGGCUAACUACGU
rnacentral:rRNA from 1 species